GUAACACGUGGGUAACCUGCCUUAUAGUGGGGGAUAGCCUUUCGAAAGGAAGAUUAAUACCGCAUAAGAUUGUAGUAUCGCAUGAUAUAGCAAUUAAAGGAGCAAUUCGCUAUAAGAUGGACCCGCGUCGCAUUAGCUAGUUGGCGAGGUAAUGGCUCACCAAGGCGACGAUGCGUAGCCGACCUGAGAGGGUGAUCGGCCACAUUGGGACUGAGACACGGCCCAGACUCCUACGGGGGCAGCAUGA
rnacentral:rRNA from 1 species